rnacentral:rRNA from 1 species
GUCGAGGAUCAUUCGCAAUGGGCGAAAGCCUGACGGUGCGACGCCGCGUGGAGGAUGAAGGCCCUCGGGUUGUAAACUCCUGUCAUCAGAGAGUAAGGCUUCUGCGAGUAACUGCGCAGGAGAUUGAUAGUAUCUGAAGAGGAAGGGACGGCUAACUUCGUGCCAGCAGCCGCGGUAAUACGAAGGUCCCGAGCGUUGUUCGGAUUUACUGGGCGUAAAGCGUCUGUAGGCGGCGCGGCAAGUCAGAUGUGAAAGCCCGGGGCUCAACCCCGGAACUGCAUCCGAUACUGCCAUGCUUGAGGAUCGGAGGGGAGUCUGGAAUUCACGGUGUAGCAGUGAAAUGCGUAGAUAUCGUGAGGAACACUAGUGGCGAAGGCGAGACUCUGGACGAUUCCUGACGCUGAGAGACGAAGGCCAGGGGAGCAAAAAGGAUUAGAUACCCGAGUAGUCC